AUGACUGGACAGAUGCUCAGCUUCAGGUGGGAAGCGGGUCCCAGAUGUGAGCAAGGCCUGGUGACUCUAGCUCACACAGGGGCUCAGAGACAAAACCAUCAGGGAACAGCUCUGGACCCUGGUGGAGAUGAGGAAGGGAGGCAGAGCUAUCUUGGCACAGAGUUCGGGCACCCAGCCCAGGCAGGGACUCAGAAGGUCUCCGUGUCUGUGCAGAGCCAAAGGAUAUUGUUGGGGCUUUGAGCUGGUGCCCGAAGACGAACGGCAUAUCGGGGGCCUCAGAGACUGAAGGGGAUGGGGCCGUCCUACACAUAUAGACCAAGGUUGCCACUGGGAGGGGGUCCAAGGUGGGGGGUGGGAUACCCAAGCCACGAGGUGCAAAGAUCUCUGCUCCUCCAGAUGCUACCUGUGGUCCACUGAGCCACAGAGACCAAGGCGUGUCAGGGAGGUGGAGGUCGGCUGGGAGGCAGCACGCAGGCAGAAGGGCACAGCACCAUCAGGGACAUGGAAAAAGUGAUGUCGUUAAGGAACAAUGUGAGCCAAAGGAAUGAGCUGUAA
ensembl:processed_transcript Gm9899 predicted gene 9899